ACAUGCAAGUCGAGCGGAUCUUCAUUAGCUUGCUUUUGAAGAUCAGCGGCGGACGGGUGAGUAACACGUGGGCAACCUGCCUGUAAGACUGGGAUAACUUCGGGAAACCGGAGCUAAUACCGGAUAAUCCUUUCCCUCACAUGAGGGAAAGCUGAAAGACGGUUUCGGCUGUCACUUACAGAUGGGCCCGCGGCGCAUUAGCUAGUUGGUGAGGUAACGGCUCACCAAGGCAACGAUGCGUAGCCGACCUGAGAGGGUGAUCGGCCACACUGGGACUGAGACACGGCCCAGACUCCUACGGGAGGCAGCAGUAGGGAAUCUUCCGCAAUGGACGAAAGUCUGACGGAGCAACGCCGCGUGAACGAUGAAGGCCUUCGGGUCGUAAAGUUCUGUUGUCAGGGAAGAACAAGUAUCGGAGUAACUGCCGGUACCUUGACGGUACCUGACCAGAAAGCCACGGCUAACUACGUGCCAGCAGCCGCGGUAAUACGUAGGUGGGAAGCGUUGUCCGGAAUUAUUGGGCGUAAAGCGCGCGCAGGCGG
rnacentral:rRNA from 1 species